CAGCCGCCGCGGUAAUACGUAGGGUGCAAGCGUUAAUCGGAAUUACUGGGCGUAAAGCGUGCGCAGGCGGUUUUGUAAGACAGUGGUGAAAUCCCCGGGCUCAACCUGGGAACUGCCAUUGUGACUGCAAGGCUAGAGUGCGGCAGAGGGGGAUGGAAUUCCGCGUGUAGCAGUGAAAUGCGUAGAUAUGCGGAGGAACACCGAUGGCGAAGGCAAUCCCCUGGGCCUGCACUGACGCUCAUGCACGAAAGCGUGGGGAGCAAACAGGAUUAGAUACCCUGGUAGUCAAGGGCG
rnacentral:rRNA from 1 species